rnacentral:lncRNA from 1 species
ACAGUUUUAAAAUGCUUAUAGCACUGGUAUCCUUUUUAUACCACUAACUGCAUUUAAUGCAGCCACAAAAAGAAAAACACUUUGCAAGUGCAAUUUAAGGUAUCACUGUAAAUACUAAAGUUAUCAUAACAACUACGUAGUACUUUGGAAGUUGAAUGUUGCAAACCUUCUUGCUGCAACCUCACUGAGGCUGCAGGAGCACUGACAUUUUUAAAAGCAUUUAGGUUGAAAUAUGUCAACAGAAUCUGAUAAAUUUAAUCAUAGUAAGCAAAACAAUGUCUAAGGAUUUAUGUUCUUCCUUUUUUCCUCUGGUUCUAUGAGUACCUUGACCAGAAAGAUAAGUAUUAGGAUUUUGGCAGCCAUUAAUCUCUCCUGGAUUAUUUUACGAUGCUGAGAGUGCCAGCCUGUCCCGCAGCUGCCACGCCAGCACAGGCCUGGUACCUCAGAGGAUGUGCCAAAUGCUUUGUGGUCGGGGCAAGGCACAGCCCAUGGAACCACCUGAGGCCCACAGCGUGCAGAGAUGAUGCCAGGCUGCUGAUCAGCCAUUGGAACAGAUAGCAGCACUGCCUUUUGCCUAUAUUUGGGCUAGAUGACUUUACUCUGGCUUAGCUUUCAGGAAGUGCAGUAUCCUGCUCCAAGUCACUGCAUGCUCAGAAAGCACCAAUGCUGCUCAUAGAGGGUCAAAACUGCUCUGGGUCACCUUUGUAAAGGUGCUGCAGCCCACAUUUAAAACAGAUCAGUGAAACACAUCCGCCAUCUUCUCAAAAAUAUUAGAGACAUUUGGAGAGAAACCAGAAGGACAGCAUAUGGUCAAAUCUCAGUGGGCCAGCCAUUUGUCUCAGCUCAGGGCUUCUCUCCCCACACUGGUUUUGCACUGCUCUGUUCCAUCAAGAUCAUGGAUUCCUUCCCUGUGGCAAUCAGCCAAGACAAGACAAGCUUCAGAGAUGACCUGCAGACUGAAGAAGGCCGAGCACCAACCACUCAAAACAACACAACAGAAAUGACUGAUCCAACACUGGCCAAAACUGAACUUCCUUUUAAAUCACCUUUUUUUUUUUUUUUUUUUUUUUUUUUUUUUUUGUGGGAGACAAAUGCAUCACUCUGCUUUUCUCUCCUGGAAUGGCACUGCAGCAGUGGGGAUAAGAUAAUGGACUUCAAUUUCUGUUGAUUUUCAAGAAAACAUUGGGAAAAUCUUCAAGGACUGUAAGACAACAGCCAUUACCAGAACAAACACAUGUGGAUGAAUAUUUUAACCACAGUUUCUCCACUUAAGAGGAAACCAAU